rnacentral:rRNA from 1 species
GACAGAGGGUGCAAACGUUGUUCGGAAUUACUGGGCGUAAAGCGCGUGUAGGCGGCCCGGCAAGUCGGGUGUGAAAUCCCACGGCUCAACCGUGGAAGUGCAUUCGAAACUGCAGGGCUAGAGUCCUGGAGAGGAAGGUGGAAUGCUUGGUGUAGAGGUGAAAUUCGUAGAUAUCAAGCGGAACACCGGUGGCGAAGGCGGCCUUCUGGACAGUGACUGACGCUGAGACGCGAAAGCGUGGGGAGCAAACAGG